rnacentral:misc_RNA from 1 species
GAAAUGCGAUAAUUAAUGUGAAUUGCAGAAUUCAGUGAAUCAUCGAGUCUUUGAACGCACAUUGCGCCCCCUGGUAUUCCGGGGGGCAUGCCUGUCCGAGCGUCAUUGCUGCCCUCAAGCACGGCUUGUGUGUUGGGCUUCCGUCCCUGGCAACGGGGACGGGCCCAAAAGGCAGUGGCGGCACCAUGUCUGGUCCUCGAGCGUAUGGGGCUUUGUCACCCGCUCCCGUAGGUCCAGCUGGCAGCUAGCCUCGCAACCAAUCUUUUUAACCAGGUUGACCUCGGAUCAGGCAGGGAUACCCGCUGAACUUAAGC